AGCGAACGCUGGCGGCAGGCUUAACACAUGCAAGUCGAGCGGGCCUUUCGGGGUCAGCGGCGGACGGGUGAGUAACGCGUGGGAACGUGCCUUCUGGUUCGGAAUAACCCUGGGAAACUAGGGCUAAUACCGGAUACGCCCUUAUGGGGAAAGGUUUACUGCCGGAAGGAUCGGCCCGCGUUAGAUUAGGUAGUUGGUGGGGUAAUGGCCUACCAAGCCUACGAUCUAUAGCUGGUCUGAGAGGAUGAUCAGCCACACUGGGACUGAGACACGGCCCAGACUCCUACGGGAGGCAGCAGUGGGGAAUCUUGGACAAUGGGCGCAAGCCUGAUCCAGCCAUGCCGCGUGAGUGAAGAAGGCCUUAGGGUUGUAAAACUCUUUCGCCGGUGAAGGUAAUGACGGUAGCCGGAGAAGAAGCCCCGGCUAACUUUGUGCCAGCCGCCGCCGUAAUAC
rnacentral:rRNA from 1 species